CUCUCUCUCUCUCUCUCUCUCUCUCUCUCCCCACCCCAUCACAGCACCAGCCCAUGUGCAGCAAAGGGUCAGAAGCAAGUUGAGGAUUCCAGCACUCCCAGGGCACGGGGAUGCUUUAUCUCCUUCAAGACUCUGUUGAAACAGUGGGCCGGACAUCCAGGAAUCUGAUGGGAACUCUCCUUUGUUCAUAUAUCUGCAAUUCAAGUAUUCCCCCAGUCUCUUCACUCCACACCACCCAAAGCAUUGAUCAUCCCAGUGGCCCGAAUGACCCACCCCAGCGGCUAUCAAGAAAAAAAAGUCACUUGCUAAAAGAGACUAUUGAGUUCCUCCUCUACCCUCACGAAGAAAGGCUUAGUUCAAACAGGAACCAUGCACAAGUAUUGACAAAAAUGUGCAGAAACUGGCAUCUUAAAAUAUCAACAGUGGGAAUCUGAGAUGUAAUGGUCGCUAUGAAAAACAGUCUGCUAGUUCCUCAAAAAGUUAACUCAGAUUACUGAGGACCCAGCAACCGUGCUUCCGCUGUACACAAAUGAACGCAAUGGCUAAAGCAUGUGUGUGUCUGCCUGAGUCCACGGGAUGAUGGUAGCCAAGAGGCAGACCCAGCCCAAGUGUCCAUUAACACCUGGACGAGCAAACAAAAUGACGGCGUAUCAAUAAAAUGCAGCAUUAUUCAGCUUUGCGAGGAAGGGAGUCCGGAGACAUGCUAGAACAUCAACGCACCCUGGGGACAUUAUAUCCAUAUGAAAUAAUAUGGGUUGACGGUGAUCUUGAUUGACAGCCUGAUGGGAUUUAACAGAACCCAGGUGCGGGAAUUCAGUUUCCUCCUUACAUCUUGGAGGGAAAUUUCAGAAGACAGGCAUGUAAAAGGAAGUGAAACAAUGGGAUGUUUCAGGACAGGAUGUUUCCAAGGAGACGAAACAACAGGAUGUCCUGGGUGGGGGUGGGUAAAACACUCAAAAUAACGUCAGCAAGUCCCUGAAAUUAACAAGAUUCACUAGCCCCCUCUCAUCCCUUACCAAGAGCGUAUAAAUAGUAAAACUGCUGAGAGUCUCUCUCACACAGGCUAAGCUGCAAGGAAGCCUCUGAACCCAACCCAUCAACCGGAAGAAGCAGAGACCAGCCCCGAAGCCUGGAAAAAGGUAACGCCAACUGAGUCACCAGGAAAGGGCACUCCCGAAUCCAUUUGGCUGCCUACCAGCUGUGUAGUAUGCUCCAGGACUCUAGUUUAUGUCAUCUGUCACCCAUGCUGGGGUUGGCUUUGGUGGUCUGGCUGUCUUUGAGUUACUCCUACUCCUGUGGGUCACCCCUCACCCACAUUCCUAUAAGUAAGCCCAAUAAAACUCAUGGGUUCACCACG